rnacentral:ncRNA from 1 species
ACGAUUGGCUAGUUAACUUGAUAGAAUGUGAGAAGUUCUAAGGGUAUAUAUCCAAGUUAGCAAGAUCAUCAAAUUGCGGGAAACUCCUAAAUGAUUUUUACUUGACACCUACAGCAAUGUUCGUAUUCAACCAGGGUAAUCACCUCGGAGAUAGUAAAAACAAAAUCAACGAAACUCUUUUACAGUUUCAAGGACAAUCCGCAGCCAAGUUCACUUAGUGAAUGCAGUUCAACGACUAAAUGUUGAUCCGGUGUAAAAACCGUAAGAUAUAGUCUAGCCCCUACAGAGAUGUAGUU